rnacentral:rRNA from 1 species
UACGAACUGUGCGAACGUUAUUCGGAAUCACUGGGCUUAAAGGGUGCGUAGGCGGUUUUCUAAGUCAGGUGUGAAAUCUUCCGGCUCAACCGGAAAACUGCGCCUGAGACUGGAUAACUUGAGUGAGGUAGGGGUGUGUGGAACUUCCGGUGGAGCGGUGAAAUGUGUAGAGAUCGGAAGGAACGCCAGCAGCGAAAGCGGCACACUGGGCCUUGUCUGACGCUGAGGCACGAAAGCUAGGGUAGUGAACGGG